ACUACACCUCCUUCUGCAACUGAGGCAACGUCUGUCCUUUCUCGGCAGAAGCACCAGAGGGGACUGGGACAGGCCUACUCCGUUCUGCUGUUCCCGGAAGGACAAUGGAAGCGGUUACUAACAGCCGUAUUCUUGGGGGUGCUUUCGCCCUUCACAUCAUCCGGACAGCUGUCUAUUUACACGGUUGGCCCAGUGGGAAGUCUGACCUUACUUCGAUUCUCCUGCCGAGAGUGACGACGCAGCCUCAAGCGCCAGGGAUGCCGUGAUCGCGUGAGACACGGAGUUCAGCCUCUGCGGUGACCCCUGGAAGAGGAAGCAACUGGACGUUUCCUCUGCACAUUGUCUUGUGCAAAGAUACAAGGGAGAAGUUUCCUUGGUGCUGCUAUGCUGCCAUCAUUUGCUGCCCGCAUUCAUAUCGGAAGCAAAAUCUGUGAUUCAGCGAGAGGUUAGUACAAAUAGUGGUAAAAUGUUUUUCCCAUCCUGGUUUGUGGACCUCCUGGGUUCCCCGUGGUCCAAGGGUGCAGGUCACGAACCCCUGCUGCAGGAGGUGAGAGCUGCGGUGCGGGAGAGGCCUGGGUCCCUGAGGUGCGCUUUGGAGGGGAGAGCUGCCCGCUGGCCUAAGGAGUGGCGUUCAGCUGGACUCCCUGUCUUUGCUUCUGAGUCCCAAGCAGCCAGCGGAAUGGCGGGAAAGCAGCUCUUAAAAUCUUAACCGAACGUAACCAGUUCCCAGAUUUAAAUUCAACCCUGUAGCUAGUGUUCUAGCGCUUCACCGCAUUCCAAGCGGGUCUGUGUGUCACAUACUCUGUCUCAAGGGAGGAAUCAAGGCAUCGUCUUAAGAUUUGCCAAGGCAUGCAAUUCCUUGAAAAAGCCUCAAACAGUCCAGGCCAAAGAGUCUUUUUUUCUGUGAGCAGUCUGGAAAUCUAACUUUUGACGCUGUCGUUGAAAUUGCGUUGAAUACAAUAGGGAUGGAAGGAAGGGAGAGCUAAGAAUUUUCAAUGGAGCGCCUUUAUGCGUUAAGUGCUGUAGGAGGUGCUUUUCACUAUCACUAUCUCACUGUGCGCUAUCUCAUGUAGCUGGAAGGCUCUGGCACUGACUCACCACAGAAAAGCAUUUCAGUGGAUUAGGGUGCAAGUAGCACAUAUCCAAACUAGUUUAAGCAUUAGUUUGAAUUUAUGGACCCAUAUAACUGGAGAACCCAGAGAUCAGGCGAGCUUCAGGCUCAGUUUGUUCCAGCAGUUGACAGUGCCACCGGACUUGUGCUUCUUUUUUCUCUAGGGCAGCUUCACCUACAGAAUGACUUCCCUCGAGGUGGUCAGGUGGCUGCCAACUGCGCCAGAUUCCAUGCUUCCUUCUUCACCUACAGGAGAGGAGACACGGUGUCCUCCCCACCUCACCCAACCCAAGUCCCGAGAUUUGCUCUGAUUGGAUGGGUUUAUGUUGUGGCCCCAUUCUUGAAUCCAUAACAGCGUCAAAGCAGGGGAAGUAUGUGAUUUUUCCAAACUACCUGGGCCCUGAACAAGUCACAAGACUAGGAGGUUCAGGUUCCUCGCAGGAAGGAAGGAAGGGGGAUCACAGAUUUUGAGAAGCGGUGAAUUACAGCCACUGCAAAAAAAACAAAACAAAAAAACCCCCCAACAACAACUAACAAUAACAGCAAACUUCUGAUCACCCAACUGCGUGGGUCCAGUCCCAUGCUGUGUAACCGUCUCAUUCUGUGUGCGCCUUGCAGCCUCUAUCUCAUUUCAGUCUCAACCCCCCUCAGCUGGAGACACUUAACCUCCCCAUUUUGUAGAUGAGCACACCGGGACCCGAGAGGUGCGGUGCUCUAAGUGUCUGUGUCUCAUCGGCGCCGGGUCUCCUGGGGAGCCAGGUCCAGACGCCUCCCUGGAGGCCCCGCCCACUCUCAGCCUGGGUUUCCCCAUCUGUAAAAUGAGUUGGGGUGACUUUAUCACCCCUAAGGGCCUUCACCAUUCUGAUGUUCUAGGCUGCUUGAAUCUCACCCUUCUUGGGAGUUGAACCCUCGGCGCUCACCCUCUGUGUCGCCUCUAGCGUCCACGACCCCUGGGUCUUGGGCUCCUUGCUGAUGACGUAAGGAGGUCAGAGGUCGGAGGAGUGGCUCUGUGAGUAGCUGUGCUCAGGGCACACACAGCAUACUUCAGGCAUGCCUUCUUGGAGGGCGGGGAGAUAUCUGCACCCCUUCCCAAGGGUGAGGUGGGGAAGAGACUCCCCAUCUCAAGGGAAAAGUUCCUAGUCUGUCGUCCUAGACACGGGGAAGGAAGCCCAGGGGCGAAGCUAGCCUCCCCUGCAGCCUCUCCACACGUGGCAAGGGCUGCAUUUUAAAUGCGCUUUUUCAGAAGAGCAUCAGGUGAAAUGGUCACCCAACCGGGGGGCGACCCGGGACCCGGAAUAGCCAACCGCAGGCUGCUCUUUCCUUGAGAGCAUCUGGGACGUUCAGCUUUGCUGAGACACUGUGUCCCACAGUAACUGGGUCCAUCCAACCAAACUGACGCAGGAAACAGGAAAACUCACUCAAAGCCAGGGAACUUCGCUUUCACAGAGUUAUAACCACUGAAGAUCAGGACAGACAUUGGCUUAAGUGGACAUUUUCAUGGGUCAGUUACAGAAGAACUCGAACACUGAUUACGUCAACUCAACUGUCACCAAAGUAGCUGUUUCAUUAUUUAAAAUGUUUCUUGGUUUAUAACAUUACAUAAGUUUCAUGUGUGCGGUAUUCCAUGUGCACUUCUGUCCACACUCAGCGUGCUGGCCGCCAGAAGUCUAGUUUCCUUCCAUCCCAUACUGUUGACCCCCACCACCCGUUUUGCCCUCCCAGCAUUAUGCACGAUACAUGAGACACAGAAACAACCUAAGUGCCCAUCGACAGAGAAAGGAUAAAGAAGAUGUGGUACACAUGUACAAUGGACUAUUACUCAGCCCUAAGAAUGAUGAAAUCUUGCCAUUUGCAACAACAUGGAUGGACCAAAAUACCUUUUUAAAAAUGGAUUCUGGGGGCUUCCCUGGUGGCGCAGUGGUUAAGAAUCCGCCUGCCGAUGCAGGGGACACGGGUUCGAGCCCCGGUCCGGGAGGAUCCCACACUCCGCGGAGCAGCUAAGCCCAUGCGCCACAGCUACUGAGCCUGCGCUCUAAAGCCCGGGAGCCACAACUACUGAGCCCACGUGCCACAACUGCUGAAGCCCGUGCGCCUAGAGCCCGUGCUCCGCAGCAAGAGAAGCCACCGCAAUGAGAAGCCCACGCACCGCAACAAAGAGCAGCCCCCGCUCACCUCAACUAGAGAAAGCCCGCGCGCAGCAGUGAAGACACA